CCGCCGCCCGCGCUCGCCCCUCAGCCGCGGCGGGGCCGCCGCUGCCGGCGCCUGAAGGCUCGCGCGCGCGGGACCCGCCAUGGAGGUGGAAGAGGCGUUCCAGGCGGUGGGAGAGAUGGGCAUCUACCAGAUGUACUUGUGCUUCCUGCUGGCCGUGCUGCUGCAGCUCUAUGUGGCCACAGAGGCCAUCCUCAUUGCGCUCGUGGGGGCCACACCAACGUACCACUGGGACCUGGCAGAGCUCCUGCCCAACCAGAGCCACGGCAACCAGUCAGUUGGUGGAGACCAGGCCUUCGGAGACUGGCUGCUGACCGCCAACGGCAGCGAGAUCCACAAGCAUGUGCAUUUCAGCAGCAGCUUCACUUCCAUCGCCUCCGAGUGGUUUUUAAUCGCCAACAGAUCCUACAAAGUCAGUGUUGCCAGCUCCUUUUUCUUCAGUGGUGUGUUUGUUGGAGUCAUCUCCUUUGGUCAGCUUUCAGAUCGCUUUGGAAGGAAGAAGAUGUAUCUCUCAGGUUUUGCUCUUGACAUCUUAUUUGCUAUUGCAAAUGGAUUUUCUCCCUCGUAUGAGUUCUUUGCAAUAACUCGCUUCCUGGUGGGCAUGAUGAAUGGAGGGAUGUCGCUGGUGGCCUUUGUGUUGCUAAAUGAAUGUGUGGGCACCGCCUACUGGGCACUUGCAGGAUCGAUUGGUGGCCUGUUCUUCGCAGUUGGCAUCGCUCAGUACGCCCUGUUAGGGUACUUCAUCCGCUCCUGGAGGACCCUGGCCAUUCUGGUUAACCUGCAGGGAACAGUGGUCUUUCUCUUAUCUUUAUUCAUUCCUGAAUCACCUCGUUGGUUAUACUCCCAGGGUCGACUGAGUGAGGCUGAAGAGGCAUUGUACCUCAUCGCCAGGAGGAACCGCAAGCUCAAGUGUACGUUCUCACUGACAUACCCAGCCAACAGGAGCUAUAGGGAGACUGGGAGCUUCCUGGAUCUGUUCCGCUACCGCAUCCUCUUGGGACACACACUCAUCCUGAUGUUCAUCUGGUUUGUGUGCAGCUUGGUGUACUAUGGCCUAACACUGAGUGCAGGUGAUCUCGGUGGAAGUAUUUAUGCCAACCUGGCCCUGUCUGGCCUCAUAGAGAUCCCAUCUUACCCUCUUUGCAUCUACCUGAUUAACCGAAAGUGGUUUGGUCGGAAGCGGACAUUAGCAGCAUUUCUGUGCCUAGGAGGAUUGGCUUGUCUUAUUGUAAUGUUUCUUCCAGAAAAAAAAGACACAGGUGUGUUUGCAGUAGUGAACAGCCAUUCCUUGUCCCUGCUGGGGAAACUGACCAUCAGUGCUGCCUUCAACAUCGUUUAUAUCUAUACCUCGGAGCUGUACCCCACGGUCAUCAGGAAUGUUGGGCUUGGAACUUGUUCCAUGUUCUCCCGAGUUGGUGGCAUCAUUGCUCCCUUCGUCCCCUCACUGAAAUAUGUGCAGUGGUCUCUCCCCUUCAUUGUCUUUGGAAUUACUGGCCUGACCUCGGGCCUCCUGAGUUUGCUGUUGCCAGAGACGCUCAAUAAUCCGUUGCUCGAGACAGUUUCUGACCUUCAAGUGUAUUCCUAUCGGCGGCUGGGGGAGGAGGCACUGUCUCUGCAGGCCCUGGACCCUCCACAGUCUGCUGACAAGGGCAGCACGCUGGGGAGUGAGAGUGAGGAAGAGGAAGAGUUUUAUGAUGCAGAUGAAGAAACUCAGAUGAUCAAGUGAGGUGGAUGCCUCCCCAAAGACCAAAUGAUAGUCUUUUCUGCCACUCACUAAGACAGGCUGUCCGUGAGUCUUAUAAAGACAGGCAAGGCUGGAACUGAGCGGACACUGAGCAUGGACUGACUUCUACAGUCACAAAGGAGGCCAGAGGAGAGAUUUUACGAGAGAAGCCAUCACUGCCUUGAGGGGGGUUGCUAUGGAUUUGUCCAGAACUCAAGUCCAGACUCAUGACUUCUGGGCAAAUAACUCAAGUCAGCAUUCCAGAGUGGUCAGCUGAUCUGUGUCUAGAAAUGGGAUGAUGUGGCCUUUUCCUUCCCGAAGAUCUAGAAGCAAAUAUAAUUCCCACUGCUAGGCAUCUCUUGGUGACAGAAGAAUUGCAACAGAGGUGAGGCUUGUAACUGCUGCUGCUGCUCCUGAAGGUCCUGAAGGUGUCACCCCACACUGGGUGCAGGCACUAUCCUGUUUUGUCUUGCAGCAAUGGCUCGUUUUGCCAUCUGUACCUUUGUACUUGCUGGAGCACUUCUAUGUACUUUAUGCCCCAGUUGUAUGUUGGGCUCUGCAUCACUGGGUCAUUUCUACUCCUGUUGAUUUCUCUGUGCUGAGCCGAAUUACAAUAAGGAUCUAAUAAAUUUCAUUGUUUCUACCCGCCUAACAGACUGUGGGGCUUUUGCCAUUAUCCUUUUUGUAAGUGAUGAACAAAAUCUGACCCAAAGUUUCAAACUAUAGAAUCCUACUUGUCUGUCUUUGGAGGCUGGGGAUUGGCCCCUCAUCAAUAGAAGGAAGGCAGGUGUAAACAUUUAAUUCUUGUGAAAUGAGAAACCUUUUAAAAUAAAACAGUGCAUUAAUGUGUCUGUCAUUUUUGGUUAGUUUCGAGUUCUUUUUGCAUUAUAAGAGUAAUACCAUAUUUCAUUACAGAAUGUUUGGAAAGUAGAAGUUUAAAAAUUUUAUCGUUUCUGGACCCAGCACCCAAAGAUGACUGGUGUUAUGGUCUGGCUACAUUUGGUGAAUAAUUGAGAGUUAUUUCUGUUAGGACUGACGUUG